AAUUUAUUAUUAGCAUGACAAAAUUACUGGAUUCUGAUUGGUUGAGAGGAGUACAAUUAUUUCAUUAAUUGUACUGCAGUACAAUUAAUGAUUUUCCCAAAACAAACAAAAUGGCGGAAAGGUAUUUUAAACACAAAUGUGAAAUGAAAUUGCCGUGGAGGAACUAGAUGAAAAUACGAACAAAAGCACCAAAUUUUGCUUGAACAAAAGAACUAAAUGAAAAUACAAACAAAAGCACCAAAUUUUGCU
rnacentral:lncRNA from 1 species